UGAGGAAUAUUGGUCAAUGGACGAGAGUCUGAACCAGCCAAGUAGCGUGAAGGAUGACUGCCCUAUGGGUUGUAAACUUCUUUUAUACGGGAAUAAAGUUAGCCACGUGUGGCUUUUUGUAUGUACCGUAUGAAUAAGGAUCGGCUAACUCCGUGCCAGCAGCCGCGGUAAUACGGAGGAUCCGAGCGUUAUCCGGAUUUAUUGGGUUUAAAGGGAGCGUAGGCGGGUUGUUAAGUCAGUUGUGAAAGUUUGCGGCUCAACCGUAAAAUUGCAGUUGAUACUAGCGACCUUGAGUGCAACAGAGGUAGGCGGAAUUCGUGGUGUAGCGGUGAAAUGCUUAGAUAUCACGAAGAACUCCGAUUGCGAAGGCAGCUUACUGGAUUGUAACUGACGCUGAUGCUCGAAAGUGUGGGUAUCAAACAGGAUUAGAUACCCUGGUAGUCCACACAGUAAACGAUGAAUACUCGCUGUUGGCGAUAUACGGUCAGCGGCCAAGCGAAAGCAUUAAGUAUUCCACCUGGGGAGUACGCCGGCAACGGUGAAACUCAAAGGAAUUGACGGGGGCCCGCACAAGCGGAGGAACAUGUGGUUUAAUUCGAUGAUACGCGAGGAACCUUACCCGGGCUUAAAUUGCAACUGACUGAACCGGAAACGGUUCUUUCUUCGGACAGUUGUGAAGGUGCUGCAUGGUUGUCGUCAGCUCGUGCCGUGAGGUGUCGGCUUAAGUGCCAUAACGAGCGCAACCCUUAUCGAUAGUUACUAGCAGGUCAUGCUGAGGACUCUAUUGAGACUGCCGUCGUAAGAUGUGAGGAAGGUGGGGAUGACGUCAAAUCAGCACGGCCCUUACGUCCGGGGCUACACACGUGUUACAAUGGGGGGUACAGAAGGCAGCUACACGGCGACGUGGUGCUAAUCCCGAAAGCCUCUCUCAGUUCGGAUUGGAGUCUGCAACCCGACUCCAUGAAGCUGGAUUCGCUAGUAAUCGCGCAUCAGCCACGGCGCGGUGAAUACGUUCCC
rnacentral:rRNA from 1 species